rnacentral:rRNA from 1 species
UACAGAGGGGGCAAGCGUUGUUCGGAAUUACUGGGCGUAAAGGGCGCGUAGGUGGCCUUCUAAGUCGAACGUGAAAUCCCUGGGCUCAACCCAGGAACUGCGUCCGAGACUGGGAGGCUUGAAUCCGGGAGAGGGAUGCGGAAUUCCAGGUGUAGCGGUGAAAUGCGUAGAUAUCGUAAGGAAGACCAGUGGCGAAGGCGGGUCUCUGGACAGUUCCUGACGCUGAGGCACGAAGGCCAGGGGAGCAAACGGG